rnacentral:rRNA from 1 species
UACGUAGGGUGCAAGCGUUAAUCGGAAUUACUGGGCGUAAAGCGUGCGCAGGCGGUUUUGUAAGUCUGUCGUGAAAUCCCCGGGCUCAACCUGGGAAUUGCGAUGGAGACUGCAAGGCUAGAAUCUGGCAGAGGGGGGUAGAAUUCCACGUGUAGCAGUGAAAUGCGUAGAGAUGUGGAGGAACACCGAUGGCGAAGGCAGCCCCUGGGUCAAGAUUGACGCUCAUGCACGAAAGCG